ACAUGUCACAGUACAUGUGCCCCGAUUCAUUGCUUAUUUUGAUCCAUUGGGAGAGUAUUAUUGUGCCUUUGGCUUUUGCUGCCCAUAGAUUCUCUCUCCCACACGGAAAACCCUAGCAAUAGGUUGGGGUCUCCCGAAACCCUUUUUCCUUCGGUCCAUCGUCGAUCCCACGCUGAUCUCUCCCGUUUCACUUGCCCCGGCCGCGCCUCGGGAUCGAAGGGCGAACCGCGGUUCAGGUUUUUAUGGUAAAGAAGCUACCGGAUUCCUUUUCGGGUUCCCCGUGAGAGGUACUCGUUCUUUACCUUGUUGGGAAGAGUUCUUGAGUUCCAAGUUCCGAUUUUUAUGCUUCUCUUGGGCUCCUUUCGUCGAUCGCUCUACUUUGUUGAUGAAUUUGGUCUGAAAUUGAUGGGUAUUGGCUUCUCGCAUCGUGGUGCGUUAGGUCAGCUGUAUUUAGUACGGUUUGGAAUGUAGUCUAGAAGUUGAAUGGGAAAGGAGCUUCUUUUCUGGAGUCGACUAUGGGUGUGUGGUUGAGCCUCAGGUUUAUGAUGAUCCGGUGGCCUGUUUGUUCCUUUGCAGAAGCGGGUAAUCAGCGAAGCAUGGCUUGAUGUAUGUUACGCAAGGAGGAGCACAUCCGGGAAAGACGUAUUCAACCUGCUGCAUAUGAUUGUUCUCACCAUUUUAAGCUAUGGAAGUAGCAGUUAAGGAGCUGUAUGUUAAAGGGAAAGAAUUUGCUCCUGUGACUGAUGGCAAGGAAGAUGCAGAAGAUUGUGACCAUUUCACCAUUCGUGGUUAUGUUGCUGGUGUUCGAAAGAGAGAUGCAAAGACUUGUUGGCCAUUGUUUAUGCCUCACAAUGAAAGUUCAGAUAUAGAUGCCAACAUGCUACCACCACUACAUGUUUCUAAGUUCAAACGAUGGAGUUGCCUGAACUGUAUUAAUACUAUUAGCACAUCUGCAGAUGUAACAGGACCUGCAGAUUUAACAAGUGUACUACAUGAAGAAAUAAAGACAAAAAGCUCCUCAUUUCUGUCAAAUGCCAAUUCAAAUAGAUUAUGUUGUGAUUCUAAACAAUCUGAAAAUAGAAUACAUGGGGAGAGACUCCUGUCAGAUUCUUCUAUCAGCAUUAGUCAUGGUGAACAUAGCCCAGCACCAUGCUGUGUCAAGAAAGCAAAUGAAUCUACAACAGAAUGUGUGGCCAAAGAAGGUAUCCGAGUAUUCACAUAUGGGAAACAUAGAUCUGAAGAGAAUCAAGAUCGGUCAUGCAAACCUGCAUCCGCUGUGGUUGAAGAUGAAAAUUUUGAAGCAGGAAAAACCCAAGCAAGGAAUAUUGCAGUUACUGAGGACAAUCCUGAGACUGUUCUUUCUGCUGAUGGUUUUCCGAUGGUUUGUGCCAAACCAAAUGGAGGUGCAACCAGUGGAGUUUCUGAUGCAGUUCUGGCUUUCAGAGCCAGCAAAGCAUAUGCAAUCAUAGACGAUGAGGGGAUUACUGAUGAAGGUGAAAUAGAUGUAGUACCUGAUGGCAUGGUUAAGACAAGCUGGAAAUUGGCUGGGGUUGAUCUUGGCAUCCCAAAAGAUGAUGCUCUAAUUGCAACUGUUGCUAAUGUUACCAAAUAUGCUUUAAUGGAUUUAGAUCAGAGCAAUAAUGAAGCAUCAUACAGUAACAUGGAUUUGUUUGAUCAUGUGAAUUGUAUCUCAAAUCAGAACAGUGUGCUUAGCAGUCCACCCGGAAAAAUGAACCACAAAAAGGUUCGUAAGCUACGCUUCCUGGAAGAUAUUAUGAAAAGUGAAGAGUUGCACACAUCUAAAAGAGCUUGUACUUUCAAGAGACACUCAGAAACAUGUGAAAUAAAGAGCAACCAUGAGCGAGGUUCAGGUGGACUGGAAUGUGAAGCCCAAUCUGGAAACUGCAAAAGCAAUCUCGUUGGCCAGAACUCUGAAAUGACAUCAACUGAUCCUAAUAAAGGUAUAGAAUCUAAUCGGAACAACGAUGAUGAUCUUUGUCUACUGCACUGGCUAAAGAAGGUUUCUAAGAAACUUGUCACCGAUGAUUCUCAGAACAAGAAAGCCAUUGGUGCAAAAGGAUAUGCUGAAAUUAAGCACAGGGAGAAUAAAGGUGGUGUAUCUACCAGUACGCAUAAUGCGAAGGAUGUAGAUCCUCUUUCUAAAAUUUCUAGAGAAAGUAAACAUAAUAAAAGCUAUACCACUGAAAAGGAAAACAAGGUGCCUCUAGUAAAACCAAGUGGUUGUUGCCUCAUGCAACAGGAAAAUUUAGUUUCUAACAAUGCAACAGUGAAGCAUGUCCAUCCUGAAAAUGAUUAUCCUAAAAUGAGAGACAUAAUUUCUGCACCUGGAAAACUAGACAGGAGCUAUGAUAAAAAAGUUGAUUCCAGAAUAAGGAAAAAGAAGGCAUCACAAGUGGAGAGCAAAAGUUCUUCCCAAAUAAAAUGGUCAAAGAAAGUAGUAGUAAAGAAACAAAGGACCACAAAGACACAUGAAAAGGAAAUUCUGGAUGACAUUCCGAUGGACAUUGUUGAACUCUUAGCAAAAAAUCAACAUGAAAGAAGUCUGAUGAAUGCUGAGGUUGCCAGCAAAAACCAUCAUGAGUUGUCAAUGAUGAAUGAUAAGAUGAAGCAUGGAAAUAUUUUAAAUGUGUCUGGAUACCGUGGAAGCAAGGUUAUGAAUGCGAUAUAUAUGAGUCAUGCAAGUGAUACAGAAUUUGGUAUUCCUACUACUCCAUGUGGUAACCAGAAUGCUGACCAUGGAACAGAAGUCUGCAAGAGUGCCAAAUAUCAGAAACAUAUCCUUAUAGAUCUGAACCAACAAGCUACAGAUGCCCUGACAAAUCCAGAAUAUGAUGAAUACCAACUAUGUACAACUCACCUUCAUGCCGUUGAUUCUAAAAAAAAUCGUUCUCUUCCAAAUUCUUAUUGGGGAAGAAUGAGGAUGCAAGAUUUUGGAUUCUAUCAGAAGGAUCGAGGAGUUUUAGCUCAGAGUUCAAGUGGAGGUGACCAUGAUAUAUUGUCAGCGGCAUUAAAUGGCAGAAUACAUGGAGUCAGCGCCAGUAACAUUCAUGCUUAUUGCAAUUAUGGGAAAAUGGUGCCUGGUGAUUCAUUUCUUGAUAGAAAACAGAGGACAGUUGUUCAAAAGGCUGACUUUCGGGAAUCAAUAAAUACAAAUGGCUUGCAUUAUCAAGCUGAGGGAGGGAAGUCUGAGCAAUCAACAAACAGGACAACUCUACCAACCAGAUCUUAUCUUGUGGGAGGAGGAAAUAGGUGUCAUUUAGGAAGAACAGCACCAAUAGAUUUGCAUACCAAUGAAACAAUUUCUGCAUUGCAUUUGCUUAGGCUAGUUGAUCAAGCAGCUCUGACAGGUCUGUCAUGCGAUAUAAACCAUGUAGGAAUUCCCCAAGGUUCUAACUUGAAUUUUAGUAAUAAAUCCACAGAGGUGCUUGGUGUGGAAGUUGGAACCAAAAUUAGAGAGACCCCUGAAAAUCCAUCCACAGCUGGUUACUCUGCUCAUGACCAAAAAGAAGGAAAUUUCAGCAAACCUCACCGUCCAAUUCCCAGGGUAGGUGUUCUUGGGUCUUUGCUGCAAAAGGAAAUCAUGAUUCACUCAAACAAGUGUAUAGCACCAUUGGGUUUUAAUGCUAGGUGUUCUGGUGAAGCACCAUCUUUCUUAGUUGAAGGAAUGGAUAAGACAGGUGCCCCUUCUUCAUCUAUUAAUACUGAAUAUGGUGACGGCAGUAACUGUCUCUUUGGGACUACAAGUGCCAAGCAAAUAGUAAGAGCUGGAGAUUCUUCUGUACGUAAGUUUGGGAUGGGUCAGGUUGGGAUCACCAAAAGGAAUGAAGCAAUCCAAUCCGUUAGACAUGAUUGUCAUACCGUAAACUGUGUUGUCAACCAAAACCCUGCAGACUUCAGCAUACCUGAUGAAGACAACGUCUACAUGCGCGGAAGUGAAAAUCUACCCUCUGAAUAUAUAUCCCCCCCAAACCUCCAUGGUAUCAAACCCAUCAUGAUGGGAAUAAGUGGGAGGUGGUGAAUUUUCAGGCAUCGUAAGCAUGAGAAGAGAUGCUUUGGCAUUCAAGCUUAGGUUUUUCUGCAGGAAUUUUGCUGGUGGCCAAUCUUUCAUGAAGAUAGUCACAUAUAUGUGACCUAGUAUUUGGCUAGCUUCUAUCUGCCUUCACCAAUGUCAUAAAUUUAACUUUACAAAAGCAAGGGUGAUGAUGAUGGGAAAUGUUGAGCCAUUGCAAGACUGGAUCAAUUUGUUGACCGUUAGCUGUUUGGUGCUGUUUCUCCAACAGCUUCAGAUCAGGCAGGAAUGUUGUGAAAGCAGAAGCAUACAGGUUGCAAGACUUCAGCCUGCAAUAUGGGAAGAAAACAACCUACUAACAAUGACCAAAUUCCACCUGCAUCGUAUACACCACAGAAUUUAUGAUUAGCUUUGUUACCCUCCUGCUGCAGCAUAUGCUGCAUGGCCAACGGUGACAAGGUAACUAUCGUCAAAAUGUGUCUUGAUCUUUCAUCUUUACUUUUGAUCCUUUGUUUUAUGGAACUUCUGCAUCAUAUUUCAGAGAAGAUGAAUUUGCAUUACCUGUUAAAACUUUUGCCUUCGUGUCCAACGGUGACAAGGUAACUAUCGUCAAAAUGUGUCUUGAUCUUUCAUCUUUACUGUGAUUUGUUGUAUUUUAGAACUUUGUAUCAUGUUUCAGAGGAGAUUGAUUUGCAUUACCUGUAAUAGCUUUUGCCUGUGCAGUGAGAAUUACUCUCUUUAUCUUGAUCUUUCGUCUUGACUUUAAUGUGACUUAUAUCUCUGUGUUUCAGAGCAGACAGACUCGCAUUUCCUGUUAGAACUUUUGUCUGUGUGGCCAAGGGUGACUCAGUUACCAUUUUAAAAAUGUAUCUUGAUCUUUCAUCUUCUUGAUGAUCCUUCAUUUAUAAUAACUUUUUCCUCAGGUUUCAAAAAAGAUAAAUUUUUUUCAUUACCUACUACUAAAAUUAUUGCCUGUGGUCAAGGGAGACACAGUAACUAUCUUCAAAAUCUGUUGAUUUUUCAUCUUUGCAGUGAUGCUUCAUCAUCCAGAACUUUUGCCCUAUGUUUCAGAGAAGAUGAUGGCUAAGGGUGACACAGGUAACUAUCUUCAAUAGGUCUUUCAUCUUUACAGUAAUCCUUCAUAUUUUACAACUUUUUUUCUCGUGUUUCUGAAGAAGAUGGAUUUGCCUGCCUAUCUUCAAAAAUGUGUUUUGGUCUUUUUGAUCUUUACUGGGAUGCUUCAUCUUUUGGAACUUUUUGCCUCCUGUUAAAGAGAAGAUGGAUUUGCAUUGCCAUUUAGAACAGAGUGCUGGAGUUUAUCAGCACAAACGAAGCAAUAGGCUUCUAAAGACAAGGCAGUUUCUACUGGGAAGUUUAAUCCUUCUUGUAGAUUCCUUCACAGUUUAAGCCAUUUUGAAAGCCUGUUUUCCAUGUGCAACCUUUGGACACACUUAUAAUCUUUGGAUCCAAAUAAGAAACCACCAA